rnacentral:rRNA from 1 species
AGUGAACGCUGGCGGUAGGCCUAACACAUGCAAGUCGAACGGCAGCACAGUAAGAGCUUGCUCUUACGGGUGGCGAGUGGCGGACGGGUGAGGAAUACAUCGGAAUCUACUUUUUCGUGGGGGAUAACGUAGGGAAACUUACGCUAAUACCGCAUACUACCUACGGGUGAAAGCAGGAGAUCUUCGGACCUUUCGCGAUUGAAUGAGCCGAUGUCGGAUUAGCUAGUUGGCGGGGUAAAGGCCCACCAAGGCGACGAUCCGUAGCUGGUCUGAGAGGAUGAUCAGCCACACUGGAACUGAGACACGGUCCAGACUCCUACGGGAGGCAGCAGUGGGGAAUAUUGGACAAUGGGCGCAAGCCUGAUCCAGCCAUACCGCGUGGGUGAAGAAGGUCUUCGGGUUGUAAAGCUCUUUUGUUGGGAAAGAACAGCAGCAGGUUAAUACCCCGCUGUUCUGACGGUACCCAAAGAAUAAGCACCGGCUAACUUCGUG